rnacentral:sRNA from 3 species
AUAUCUCUCUGUACGGGAAGGAUGAGAAGCUUCGACUAAGGUUCGAUUCGAGCGCAGCGAGAAAGCGUUGCCGCAGGCAACGACCCGAAGGGCGAAGCGCGCAG